rnacentral:rRNA from 1 species
GAUGAACGCUGGCGGCGUGCCUAAUACAUGCAAGUCGAGCGAACAGACGAGGAGCUUGCUCCUCUGACGUUAGCGGCGGACGGGUGAGUAACACGUGGAUAACCUACCUAUAAGACUGGGAUAACUUCGGGAAACCGGAGCUAAUACCGGAUAAUAUAUUGAACCGCAUGGUUCAAUAGUGAAAGACGGUUUUGCUGUCACUUAUAGAUGGAUCCGCGCCGCAUUAGCUAGUUGGUAAGGUAACGGCUUACCAAGGCAACGAUGCGUAGCCGACCUGAGAGGGUGAUCGGCCACACUGUAACUGAGACACGGUCCAGACUCCUACGGGAGGCAGCAGUAGGGAAUCUUCCGCAAUGGGCGAAAGCCUGACGGAGCAACGCCGCGUGAGUGAUGAAGGUCUUCGGAUCGUAAAACUCUGUUAUUAGGGAAGAACAAAUGUGUAAGUAACUAUGCACGUCUUGACGGUACCUAAUCAGAAAGCCACGGCUAACAACGUG